GACGAACGCUGGCGGCGUGCUUAACACAUGCAAGUCGAGCGGUAAGGCCCUUUCGGGGGUACGACGAGCGGCGAACGGGUGAGUAACACGUGGGUGACCUGCCUUUAGCUCUGGGAUAAGCCUGGGAAACUGGGUCUAAUACCGGAUAUGACCCUAUGGCGCAUGUUGUGGGGUGGAAAGCCUUGUGCGGCUAGGGAUGGGCCCGCGGCCUAUCAGCUUGUUGGUGGGGUGAUGGCCACCAAGGCGACGACGGGUAGCCGGCCUGAGAGGGCGACCGGCCACACUGGGACUGAGACACGGCCCAGACUCCUACGGGAGGCAGCAGUGGGGAAUCUUGCGCAAUGGGCGAAAGCCUGACGCAGCGACGCCGCGUGAGGGAUGACGGCCU
rnacentral:rRNA from 1 species